CUGGCCCAUAAGAACCUUUUUGAUGGAAGUGUCUCAGUUGAAGAUUUUGUGGAAUACAACUUGGGAAAUAUUGGCUAAUGUUCAAACUGCUUUACUCUAGGCAACUGUAAUGUUAGCAAAUGCUUAUGUGGCACUGUGUGCCAGGCACUGUUCUCAGCGCUUUAUAUAUUUUAACUCAAUCCUUACAACAACUUCAUGCAGUAGGUGUUAUUAUUGUCACUAGUUGAGGAAUCGGAGUCGCGGACAGGUUAAGUUAUGUGCCUAAAGGGACAGAGCUGGGAAGAGGCAGAGGCAGGAUUUGAGCCAGGCCACCUAGUUCUGGGUGGUAUAGGGGUGCCCCGAGCCCAUCUGAGGGGAGCCCCUCCUCAUGCAUCUUCUGUAUUUUCAGGUCAUAACACAAACUGCGAUGUGGGGCCUCUCUGUUGGGCUGCUGGUGUUCAGGGAACCCUGAUGGGUGGCCCGCCCUCACCUCCCUCGCUGCCUUUCCUCCCCACCCCAAGCCCUCUGUGCCACUAGACAGUGCAUGAGUCAAGAGCAAGUCGAAGAUGAAGCCAGAACACAGCAUGUUGGAAUGCAGAUGGGAAGGUGAGCAAGCUUGGACCAUGAAGACAAAGGCAACACCCGAGAGAUGGAGCAGCUUCAAGUUGAAGGGAGCCUGAGGCCGUGGCUCGCCUCUGUAGUCCCAGCACUUUGGAAGGCCAAGGUGGGACUCAUUUCUCAUCUACAAGUAAGAAGGCAGUAACCCACAGAUCAAGACUGCCAACCAGAUGGACACACGAAAUGCUGCUACACACUCUCCUACACGUCAGUAAAUUCCUUGCAUCCAAUGACUCCAUGUGCUUCAGUGACGGACCAUGAGUGAGCCUGACCAGGCUGGAGAUGCCACCACGCAGGUUACUUCCUCCACUCAGCCCCAACUGACAAAGGACACAUUUUUAUCCCAGCAAAACUUCUGUUUUUCUUUUUCCAAGAAAACAGAAAAGUCGCCGGGCACGGUGGCUUACGCCUGUAAUCCCAGCACUUUGGGAGGCCGAGGCAGGAGAAUCGCUUGAGCCCGGGAGUUUGAGACCAGCCUGGGCAACAUGGUGAAACCAAGUCUCUAC
rnacentral:lncRNA from 10 species